rnacentral:rRNA from 1 species
GAUGAACGCUGGCGGCGUGCCUAAGACAUGCAAGUCGAGUGUUCCGCAAGGGACACGGCGAACGGGUGAGUAAUACCUAGGAACUUUCUUAAGUUGAGCAUAACCCAUCGAAAGGUGGGAUAAUUCUCAAUGUGACCGCAAGGUUAAAGUCGCAAGACGCUUAAAAUGAGGCCUGGGCACCAUCAGCUAGUUGGUAAGGUAAUGGCUUACCAAGGCUAUGACGGUUAGGGGCCCCGAGAGGGGAAACCCCCACACUGGAACUGCGGCACGGUCCAGACUCCUACGGGAGGCAGCAGUUUGGAAUUUUGGACAAUGGGCGAAAGCCUGAUCCAGCGACGCCGCGUGGUGGAUGAAGGUCUUCGGAUCGUAAACACCUUUGUUUGGGAGCAAUAUUUGAGAGUACCAAGCGAAUAAGAGGUUGCUAACUCUGUG